GCCCGCCUGCAUCCGGCAGGUUUUAGGCAUUUGCAGCAGAGAUCUCCUCUGUGGGCUGGCUUUCACUGCAAGAUCUGAAUGUCUUCUCCUUUCUUUGCUGCUUUUUUGUUUCUAGGACUUUUGGAGAUGUUUGCAGAGCACUUGACAAUGCCACAGGAGGGCAGGUGGCCAUAAAGAAAAUAAAUCUCCAAGGACCGAGGAAGAAGGAACUAAAAGUCAAUGAAUUCAUGCUCAUGAAGACAAAUAAGAAUCCCAACUUGGUCAACUAUUUAGACAGCUACCUUGUGGAUGGGCAGCUCUGGCUGGUCAUGGAGUACAUGGACGGAGGCACUCUGAGCAAUGUCAUCAGCGAGAC